rnacentral:lncRNA from 1 species
GUGUGCAAUGACUGAUUCGAUGUCUCAAGCAGAACACAUUUCUCUUCGGCAUUUCUAAGCCUAGCGGCGCCCGCCGAAAGCUCACUAUUAAGGCGUUUUACAUCCUCUUGUGCACAUAACAGGUCAUGCUCUGAUGUCUUAAGCAGAACACACUUCUCUUCAGCAUUUCUAAGCCUAGCAGCGCCUGCCGAAAGCUCACCAUUAAGGCGUUUUACAUCCUCUUGUGCACAUAACAGUUCAUGCUCAAGUUUGGAUAUUUUCUCCAGACAGUUUUUAUACUCACGGACUGAGGCUUUUUUCUCCUCUGUUAGCUCCAUAACCAGCCUUUCCAGUUUCUUGAUCUCACUUUCAGCUCUAUCAGCUUUCUCACUAAGA